AUUCGGCAUGAUAACUAGAUGACGGUCUCAAUGCAACACGACCAUAGUCCUUUAAGUUGCCGAUAGAUUAUUCACCUGCGAAGAUCUUACACGUUUUCUGAUAUCUGCCCUGAUGCUAUACGUUUAAUCUUUCGCAACAUAC
rnacentral:snoRNA from 1 species